rnacentral:rRNA from 1 species
GUAAGGAAUAUUGGGCAAUGGAGGCAACUCUGACCCAGCCAUGCCGCGUGAAGGAUUGACGGCCCUCUGGGUUGUAAACUUCUUUUGUACGGGAAUAACCCUCCGAACGUGCUCGGAGCUGAAGGUACCGUAAGAAUAAGGAUCGGCUAACUCCGUGCCAGCAGCCGCGGUAAUACGGAGGAUCCAAGCGUUAUCCGGAUUUACUGGGUUUAAAGGGUGCGUAGGCGGAUUGAUAAGUCAGUGGUGAAAUCCUGCAGCUUAACUGAAGAACUGCCAGUGAUACUGCCAGUCUGGAGUAUGGUUGAGGUAGCUGGAAUGUGUCAUGUAGCGGUGAAAUGCUUAGAGAUGACACAGAACACCGACGGCGAAGGCAGGUUACCAACCCAUUACUGACGCUGAGGCACGAAAGCGUGGGGAUCAAACAGGAUUAGAAACCCGGGUAGUCC